rnacentral:rRNA from 1 species
AAUCGAACCCGGAGAUAGCUGGUUCUCCUCGAAAUAGCUUUAGGGCUAGCCUCAUGGAUCAUUGAUGGGGGUAGAGCACUGAAUGUGCGCGGGGGCCACAAAGCCUACCAAACGCUAUCAAACUUCGAAUACCAUACAAUGCAGACCAUGGGAGUCAGUCCGCGAGAGAUAAGUUCCGCGGGCAAAAGGGGAACACCCCAGAUCAACCGCUAAGGUCCCCAAGUUCACGUUAAGUGGAGAAGGAUGUGGAAUUGCACAGACAACCAGGAUGUUGGCUCAGAAGCAGCCACACAUUUAAAGAGUGCGUAAUAGCUCACUGGUCGAGUGAUUGUGCGCCGAAGAUGUCCGGGGCUAAACGUGACACCGAAGCGAUGGGUGCAUCUGAAGAAGAUGCGCGGUAGAGGAGCAAUGUGCAGAGGCAGAAGCCGUAUCGAGAGGCACGGUGGACACUGCACAAGAGAGAAUGCCGGUAUGAGUAGCGAGAGGCAUGCGAGAAACAUGCCCGUCGAAAGCCCAAGGUUUCCUGGGGAAGGUUCAUCCGCCCAGGGUAAGUCGGGGCCUAAGCCGAGGACGGAAGUCGUAGGCGAUGGACAGCAGGUGUAGAUUCCUGCACUACCGAUGGAAUGAAGCAGUGACACAGAAGGAUAACUCGAGCAGGGUGAUGGUCAACCCUGUGCAAGCAUCAAGGUUGGGUUGUAGUGAAGUACGCAACCCUAUAAGCUGAGGUGUGAUGCGGACCGAAAUUUCAGUAGGGAAGCGAGUGAGUUCACGCUGGCGAGAAAAGCUGCUAGUACAUCCAAAGGUACCCGUACCGGAAACCGACGCAGGUGGGCGAGGAGAGAAUCCUGAGACGAACGGGAGAACCCUUGUUAAGGAACUCGGCAAAAUGACCCCGUAACUUCGGGAGAAGGGGUGCCUCGAAAGAGGCCGCAGAGAAUAGUCACAAGCGACUGUUUAGCAAAAACACAGGUAUCUGCGAAAGCGAGAGCUGACGUAUAGGUGCUGACGCCUGCCCGGUGCUGGAAGGUUAAGGGGAAGUGUUAGGGGAAACCCGAAGCAGAGAACCGAAGCCCCAGUAAACGGCGGCCGUAACUAUAACGGUCCUAAGGUAGCGAAAUUCCUUGUCGGGUAAGUUCCGACCCGCACGAAUGGCGUAACGACUUGUGAGCUGUCUCAACAGGAGGCCCGGUGAAAUUGAAGUAUGUGUGAAGAUGCACAUUACCCGCGACUGGACGGAAAGACCCCGUAGAGCUUUACUGUAACCUGACAUUGGAUCUUGAUAACGGAUGCACAGGAUAGGUGGGACGCUGGGAGACGAGGACUUUGGUUUUCGUGGAGCGGCCGUUGGGAUACCACUCUUCUGUUAUUGAGAUUCUAACCUCAAGCCGUGAGCCGGAUGAGAGACAGUGUCAGGCGGACAGUUUGACUGGGGCGGUCGCCUCCGAAAGAGUAACGGAGGCGCCCAAAGGUACCCUCAGAAUGGAUGGAAACCAUUCGAAGAGAGCAAAGUCAGAAGGGUGCUUGACUGCGAGACCAACAAGUCGAGCAGGUACGAAAGUAGGGCUUAGUGAUCCGGCGGUAAGAGAGUGGAAUUGCCGUCGCUCAACGGAUAAAAGCUACCUCGGGGAUAACAGGCUGAUCUCCCCCAAGAGUUCACAUCGACGGGGAGGUUUGGCACCUCGAUGUCGGCUCGUCGCAUCCUGGGGCUGAAGCAGGUCCCAAGGGUUUGGCUGUUCGCCAAUUAAAGCGGCACGCGAGCUGGGUUCAGAACGUCGUGAGACAGUUCGGUCCCUAUCCAUCGUGGGCGUAGGAGUCAUGAGAGGAGCUGUUCCUAGUACGAGAGGACCGGAAUGGACGCACCACUGGUGCAACUGUUGUCGUGCCAACGGCAUAGCAGGGAAGCGAAGUGCGGAUGGGAUAAACGCUGAAGGCAUCUAAGCGUGAAGCCCACCUCAAGAAUAAGUGU